rnacentral:rRNA from 1 species
UGGUCAAGUUAUUAAGGGUGCAGGGCGGAUGCCUUGGCACUAGGAGCCGAUGAAGGACGUGAUAAGCUGCGAUAAGCUUCGGGGAGUUGCACGUAAACUUUGAUCCGAAGAUUUCCGAAUGAGGAAACUCACUUAGAGUAAUGUCUAAGUAUCAUUAAGUGAAUACAUAGCUUAAUGAGGGGAACUCAGGGAACUGAAACAUCUAAGUACCUGAAGGAAGAGAAAGAAAUUCGAUUCCGUAAGUAGCGGCGAGCGAACGCGGAUUAGCCCAAACCAAUAAAGUUUUCUUUAUUGGGGUUGCGGACAUAUCAUAACGAAGAGGUAUCGUAAUUGAAGAGGUUUGGAAAGACCCACCACAGAAGGUAAUAGUCCUGUAUGUUAAACGAGAAGACUUCAGAUAUGAUCCAGAGUACCACGGGACACGUGAAACCCUGUGGGAAGCAGGAGGGACCACCCUCCAAGGCUAAAUACUACCUAGUGACCGAUAGCGUAUAGUACCGUGAGGGAAAGGUGAAAAGAACCCCGGGAGGGGAGUGAAAUAGAACCUGAAACCCUGCACUUACAAGCUGUGGAAGCACAUUUCUUGUGUGACCGCGUACUUUUUGUAGAACGGGCCAACGAGUUACGUUAAGUAGCAAGGUUAAGCACUUAAGGUGCGGAGCCGUAGCGAAAGCGAGUUUUAACUGAGCGUUCAGUUACUUGACGUAGACCCGAAACCGGGCGACCUACCCAUGAGCAGGAUGAAGCGAAAGUAAAAUUUCGUGGAGGUCCGAACCCACGAGCGUUGAAAAGCUCGGGGAUGACUUGUGGGUAGCGGUGAAAUUCCAAUCGAGCCCGGAGAUAGCUGGUUCUCCCCGAAAUAGCUUUAGGGCUAGCCUCAAGGUGAGAGAUACGGAGGUAGAGCACUGAAUGUCCUAGGGGGUAUUGCACCUACCGAAGACUAUCAAACUCCGAAUGCCGUCAUCUUAUACUUGGGAGUCAGACUGUGGGUGAUAAGAUUCAUAGUCGAAAGGGCAACAGCCCAGAUCGUCAGCUAAGGUCCCUAAAUGUAAGUUAAGUGGUAAAGGAUGUGGGAUUGCACAGACAACCAGGAUGUUGGCUUAGAAGCAGCCACUCAUUCAAAGAGUGCGUAAUAGCUCACUGGUCGAGUGAUCCUGCGCCGAAGAUUUCCGGGGCUAAAACUUACUACCGAAGCUACGGCAUCAGUAAUGAUGGGUAGGGGAGCUUCCCAUACGGGUUGAAGCAUGACCGUAAGGACAUGUGGACAGUAUGGGAGUGAGAAUGUUGGCAUGAGUAGCGAGAUGUGGGUGAGAAUCCCACAGGCCGUAAACCCAAGGUUUCCAGGGGAAGGUUCGUCCGCCCUGGGUUAGUCGGGACCUAAGCUGAGGCCGAAAGGCGUAGGUGAUGGACAACAGGUUGAUAUUCCUGUACUACCGAUAACCGUUUGAGAGAAGGGAUGACACAGUAGGAUAAGCUAAGCACACUGUUGGUUAUGUGUGCCCAAGCAUUGAGGCAGUCAAAGCAGGCAAAUCCGCUUUGAUAAUGCUGGGAUGUGAUGGGGAGCGAAAUUUAGUAGCGAAGUAGCUGAUUUCACACUGUCAAGAAAAGUCUCUAUCGAGGUUAAAGGUACCCGUACCGCAAACCGACACAGGUGGGUGAGGAGAGUAUCCUAAGGCCAGCGAGAGAACUGUUGUUAAGGAACUCGGCAAAAUGACCCCGUAACUUAGGGAUAAGGGGUGCCACCAUCCGGUGGCCGCAGAGAAUAGGCCCAAGCGACUGUUUACCAAAAACAUAGGUUUCUGCUAAGUCGCAAGACGAUGUAUAGGAGCUGACGCCUGCCCGGUGCUGGAAGGUUAAGGGGAUCUGUUAGAGCAAUCGAAGCAGUGAACUUAAGCCCCAGUAAACGGCGGCCGUAACUAUAACGGUCCUAAGGUAGCGAAAUUCCUUGUCGGGUAAGUUCCGACCCGCACGAAAGGCGUAACGAUUUGGGCACUGUCUCAACAACAGACUCGGUGAAAUUGUAAUUCCGGUGAAGAUGCCGGAUACCUGCGACAGGACGGAAAGACCCCAUGGAGCUUUACUGUAGCUUGACAUUGGGUCUUGGUACUACAUGUACAGGAUAGGUGGGAGGCUUUGAAACCAGGACGCCAGUUUUGGCGGAGCCAUCCUUGGGAUACCACCCUUGUAGUACUGGGACUCUAACCAUAGGCCAUGAAUCUGGUCUUGGGACACUGUCAGGUGGGCAGUUUGACUGGGGCGGUCGCCUCCCAAAAGGUAACGGAGGCGCUCAAAGGUUCUCUCAGUACGGUCGGAAAUCGUACGUAGAGUGUAAAGGCAAAAGAGAGCUUGAUUGCAAGACAUACAGGUCGAGCAAGGAUGAAAAUCGGACUUAGUGAUCCGGUGGUUCUGCGUGGAAGGGCCAUCGCUCAACGGAUAAAAGCUACCCUGGGGAUAACAGGCUUAUCUCCCCCAAGAGUCCACAUCGACGGGGAGGUUUGGCACCUCGAUGUCGGCUCAUCACAUCCUGGGGCUGUAGUAGGUCCCAAGGGUUGGGCUGUUCGCCCAUUAAAGUGGCACGCGAGCUGGGUUCAGAACGUCGUGAGACAGUUCGGUCCCUAUCCGUCGCAGGCGUAGGAAAUUUGAGAAGACCUGUCCUUAGUACGAGAGGACCGGGAUGGACGUACCUCUGGUGUACCAGUUGUUCUGCCAAGGGCAUGGCUGGGUAGCUAUGUACGGAAUGGAUAAGCGCUGAAAGCAUCUAAGCGCGAAGCCAACUUUAAGAUAAGAUUUCCCACCGCAAGGGUAAGACCCCAGAAAGACUAUCUGGUUGAUAGGUCGAAGGUGUAAGUGCAGCAAUGUAUUUAGCUUAUCGAUACUAAUAGGUCGAGGACUUGACCAAU